rnacentral:rRNA from 1 species
AGUAGUUUGAUCAGUGGCUCAGGACGAACGCUGGCGGCGUGCUUCAUACAUGCAAGUCGAACGAGAAAUUCACUUCGGUGGAUGGAAAGUGGCGGACGGGUGAGUAAUGUGUAGAGAAUCUGCCCUAGAGUGGGGGACAACAGAGGGAAACUCCUGCUAAUACCCCAUAUGCGCGUAGUUGAGAUACUAUUCGUGAAAGAUUUAUUGCUCUGGGAUGAGUCUGCAUCUGAUUAGCUAGUUGGGGGUGUAAUGGACCACCAAGGCGACGAUCAGUAGCUGGUUUGAGAGGAUGAUCAGCCACAAUGGGACUGAGACACGGCCCAUACUCC